CUGGGAAGUGUUGGACUGGAGAUAAACCCCAGAAUGAUAGAAAUAUCGAACUCAGUGUAUAUUGGGAAUUUUUUCUUUGAAAAUGAAAGAGAAUGGAUGAUAUGGACAGAGUUGGUGGAGAAGCUGAAAAGAAUGGGUUAAAGAAUAUGUGUUGUUGGGUAUUGAUGGCUAUGGUGAAUGAAGAAGUGCAAAGUUUUGGAAGAACAGUAGAUUGUUUUGGAUGAUGUUGUUGGGCUUUUUUUUUUUUCUAUUUCAGUUGUAUGUGG